GUUCCCUUGAGGAGUGGCUUCCGGAGCUAACGCGUUAAGUCGACCGCCUGGGGAGUACGGCCGCAAGGUUAAAACUCAAAUGAAUUGACGGGGGCCCGCACAAGCGGUGGAGCAUGUGGUUUAAUUCGAUGCAACGCGAAGAACCUUACCUACUCUUGACAUCCACGGAAUUUGGCAGAGAUGCCUUAGUGCCUUCGGGAACCGUGAGACAGGUGCUGCAUGGCUGUCGUCAGCUCGUGUUGUGAAAUGUUGGGUUAAGUCCCGCAACGAGCGCAACCCUUAUCCUUUGUUGCCAGCGAUUCGGUCGGGAACUCAAAGGAGACUGCCGGUGAUAAACCGGAGGAAGGUGGGGAUGACGUCAAGUCAUCAUGGCCCUUACGAGUAGGGCUACACACGUGCUACAAUGGCGCAUACAAAGAGAAGCGACCUCGCGAGAGCAAGCGGACCUCACAAAGUGCGUCGUAGUCCGGAUCGGAGUCUGCAACUCGACUCCGUGAAGUCGGAAUCGCUAGUAAUCGUGGAUCAGAAUGCCACGGUGAAUACGUUCCCGGGCCUUGUACACACCGCCCGUCACACCAUGGGAGUGGGUUGCAAAAGAAGUAGGUAGCUUAACCUUCGGGAGGGCGCUUACCACUUUGUGAUUCAUGACUGGGGUGAAGUCGUAACAAGGUAACCGUAGGGGAACCUGCGGCUGGAUAACCUCCC
rnacentral:rRNA from 1 species